UCUACUGUUAUGCUGCUAACCGCAGCAAUGCCCACCUUGGCAGCCAGGGAAACACUACUCUCACAUCAAGUAAAGGCAAGCUGUAGAGAUUCAGAAUUUCCCUUUCCUCUGAACUUGCAAAACCAAAACAAGACAAGAACUGGCUUCAUGGGAACUUCCUGUUCCUGUGCUGGACCCAUCCUUAACACUUGUCCAAGUGCUUCAGGAAUGCAGCAAGAACACUUACCCGAACACCCAGCACUGAGUUCCCACUCUCUUGCACUGUGUGUCUGUGAGGUAAGCAUA